AUUAGCAAAUUCAUGAAUAUCCUGUUUACAUUUCAAAUAAGCUCAUAGCUUGGUUUCUGUAUCUAAAGGAUUGUGCUAAUUAUUUAUAGACCACUAAUGACUAUUAAUAAGUGGAACCGUGGUGGUUGAAUUUCACCAAUGUUACAAUUGGAGAACAAACUCAGUCCACCCUGUUGUAUGGAAAUUACUCUGAUUAGAGCGUAAUGACUAACUAAAGAGUUGUUUGUCUAUUCAAUUGCAGGGCAGAGAAGGGUAAUGAGUUUACUUGCUCAGGCUCUAUUCUUCUAGGAGUUAGUAGGAGGGAACUUUUGGUCUUUAGCCACAAUGGACUAGUUGUUAAGAAGUUUCAGUUGACCUCCCAAGAAUCCACUUCUCCCGACCUUCUCCCUCUAGGAACAGGAAGUUGAUCAUCCUUGUGUUUCCCUCACAUCUAUCACAGAUCCUUGAACUUAAUGGGUGUUUAAGAAAUGUUGGAAAGAACUCCAGAAUCUUAUAUCUCACCUCCAUUUAUUUGGAUCAAGCAUUUACUAUGUCCCUACUGAGUAUGAUGGGCUAGGGACACAGAGAGAAAUAGGAUAUGUCCCUUCCCUUAAAAAGCUCACAUUCUUUUAUGGAAACAGGCAGAUGAACACACGGUGGCAUAUAACUCAGUGAGAUAAAUGGUAGGACAGCCCAGGCUCUUAUAAUGUUGGGCAUUAUGCACUGUAUCUUUUAUGUAACUUUAUGUAACUUUUAUGUAACUUUAUGUAACUCAACUGCUCUGUACUGCAGUUUGUUUCCUCAUUAGUUUCCUCCACUAUACUGUGAGCAGCUUGAGGGCAGAGAACAUGCCCUGUAUAAUAGGCAUUCCAUAGAAGUUGAAUGAAUGAAUGAAUAGAUGGUUGGGAGUGUCACAGAUCUUUGACACUGCAAGCUCACAAUGCCUGCAGAGAAUGGAAAGAGCAGAACAGCCCUCCAGGAAGUCUGCCAGGGAUUGUGUAGUGGGGGUAAUCUAUCAAGGAAGCAUGCCAGGUGUUACAGGGACGUUUCAGGGACCACUGCUCAGUCAGAGGAGUGAAUAUGACCUCUAGCUUGCUGUAAGGGAUGUGCCUCCAGACUGGGAGUCCUGGCCUAAAAUGUCUCACUGUAAAUUAAUAUAUCAGCAUCCUAGCAACUCUGUGAUGGUUGUGUCAUGAAUUGGCUUCCCUGAAGCCCCUCCUCUCUGACUCUGGUCAGAUCAAGGAUCCAGGUCAGCAGAGCUUAAGGAUUAGGUUUGGGGCCAAAAGGAUCAUGUGAGCUGGAGUUGCCUACAUUCAUCUUCCAUUGUUGCCUGAAGAAGAAAACCAUUUUCAAUAGGAAGGAAUGAGGCCAACAAACAAAGAAAAGCAGAGUCAAGAGUUGGCUCCCUGAUAACGUUGUUCCUGCAUCUGGGUGCCUGAAAAUAGCUAUCCUCUGGAUUUUUCAGUUAUGGCAACCGAUAAAUUCCUCCUCCUCCUUUUUCUAGUUUGAUUUUCUGUCUUCUUCAACUUCUUAGAAAACACCAGUAUAGGUAAAGACCUGUGCUUUGGAGUGAGACAAAUCUGGUUUCAAACUCUAACCACUGCAUUGUCGGGUGUCUAUUACAGCAGCUCAGGCUCUUACCUUAGCUGAAUAUCCCAAGUGAAAAAUGAUUCAGGCCUGAAGUGAGGUAGUGGCAGAGGACAGAAAGAAGGAGCUAGAUUUGAAUGCUUUUAGGGUGUUAGAAUUAACAGAACAUGGGGUAGUUUAUUAUAUAUGUGAGAGCAAAGGGGUGGGAUAGAGGGACUUGUGGUGAAAUCUUGGUUUCUGGCUUGAGUGACCAGUGGACAGUGGUACCCUGGGCCAGCUCCACGGGCAUGUUUCUUUCUUUUUUUUUUUUAAUUGAAGUAUAGUUGAUUUACAGUGUUAAUUUCUGCUGUACAGUAGAGUGAUUCAGUAAUACAUAUAUGUACAAUCUUUUUGUGUUCUUUUCCAUUAUAAUCACAGAAUAUUGAAUAUAGUUCCCUGUGCUAUAUGCUAAGACUUUGCUGUUUAUCCAUUCCAUUUGUAAUAGUUUGCCUCUGCUAAUCCCAAACUCCCAAUCUUCCCUUCCCCAACCCCUCAUGUCCAUGAGUCUGUUUCUGUUUUGUAGAUAAGUUCAUUAGUGUCAUAUUUUAGAUUCCAAAUAGAAGUGAUAUCAUAGGGUAUUUGUCUGACUUACCUCACUUAAUAUGAUAAUAUCUAGGUCCAUCCAAAUAUUGCUACAGAUGGCAAUACUUUGUUCUUUUUUUAUGUUUUUUUUUUUUUUUUUAAAGUUGAGUGAGUGAAUGAAUGAAUGGGAAUAUCACAGAGUAAUUGUAUAUAUGUACCACAUCUUCUUUAUUCAAUCAUCUGUUGAUAGACAUUUAGGUUCCUUCCAUGGCUUGGUUAUUGUAAAUAAUGCUGCUAUGGACAUAGGGGUGUCUGUGUCUUUUUGAAUUAUAUUUUUGUCAUGAGCAUAUUUUGUAUACUCCUGAUAGACCUCGUCCUGGCCAGCUUCCAGAUGUUCCUUCCAUUCUUUAAAGGCAGAAUGAUCUUGAAGAGUCAAGAGUUCUGAAAGACUCAUGCACUCUUGCUCUUUUCUUCAUUCAUUCAGCCCUUAUUGAGUGCCUACUGGGUACUAGCUUGAGCUUCCACGAAGACACAGAACUGAUUAAGGCACACUCUGCCUUCAAGUUACUCACAGUGUAUGGGAGUGGUCAGACUUCUAGAGCUUGAGGGGCAAGAAUUGUGAAUUUCUUGUGGGCCAAGAUGAUGUGGAGCCAUGGAGCUGUUGUAAUGGAAACAUAGGGCUCACAAUCCCCUUGGCUUCUGGGAGUUUUCCUCUCAUUUCUGAAGACUCCACAGACAUGUAACCAGACAUGUUUAUGGGAGGCAGAGCAAGGGAUUGAAGGCAAAAACAAAGCAACUUUCAUAAACUUUUGGAGGUUUAUAGAAUGAAAGUUAAUAUUCUCAAUAUCUUGCUCAUACAGAUGUUGUGAAAAGAACAGAAAUGACUGCUCUUAAUCUGUUGCUGUAUUCCUUGGCAGGUAGUAUUUUGUUUGUUUGUUUUUGUUCCAGCAAUUUGACAGUUUGACUGUGGAUACUAUAUCUCUCUGGCAACAGGGCUAGAAGCAGUCCUCUGCAGCUCAUUGGGGGAGUGGCCAAUAUUUUAUCUUGAGAAUUAUUAAAAAAAGCCUUUUGAUUGAUUUAAUUGAAUGCAAGCCAUAAUAUUUUGAGGCAUAGUGAGAAGGUUCCCGGCUUUGAAAUCACAUGUCAGGUUCAAAUCCAAGUUCCACCAGUUGCAAGCUGAGGGAGCCUGGGGCAAGUCUCAGAGCAAGUUUCCUCACCUGUGAAAAAUACACACCUUGCAGGGUGUGUGAGGAUUGAAAGAGAGGAUGUGGAAUGGCUGACAAAGCUGGGGAGGAUUUUAAGAGAUCUUACAGAUCUUAAAGGGCCCUUAGCAAGAGAAGGGCUUGCUAAGAGGCAGCCAAAUUGAUGUAGUUACUCUCUCCUCCAGUAGCCUAAAUAAUAGACCCUUAGAGGGAGCAUUGAGGGAGAAUCUUGGAAGGGAAUUUGUAGGCACAGAGCACGCAGAGGGGAGAGUCAGGAAUGUUUUUCUCCUACCUCAGCCAAGUGAGGAGCAACCCAAAAGGAUGACUUAGCAAGAUUGGGGUUGCUGAGAGGAGGAGAGACCCUCAUUUCAGUCCUUGCAUUACUGGCAGAGUGUGGCUAGAGAGAACCCUUGGGAGACCCUCAUAGUUCCCCCGAAGUCCCAGGGGCCUGAAAACUGCUGCCUGGAGAAAGGGCAGUGGAGGGAGGGAUUUUCAUUUUACUCGAUAGCCAAGGGUCCAUGAGCUUCUUUAUGGCCUAUUAGGAUGCCUGGGGGUGGGUGUGAAUCACAGCUGUCUUGAAAGGACCAUGGCAAGAGGGCUGUUUUCUGAAAAUAGGCUUCAUUGAGCACACGGCUUUAUCCCUAAAGCAAGUGCUUAGGAUAUUUGCAAGAGGAAACUGCUAAAGAGAACAUCAGCUGUAUCAGGAAAUGAGAUGGUGCAUAAGUCCUCACUCCUGUGUCGGGCACUUUGUGAAAGAGGGGCAGGCUUUGGGCUCCUACACUGAGAAGGACAUUGACAACAAAAGGAGGCUUGCCAACGAUCCCACCUCAGGUAGAAGGGCAUUUGCCUGUGUUUCCUCUAACUCCUCCUUCCUGAUGUGACCCCAGGAUGGUUAGAAGGUGGAAGCGGUUGAAUCAAAGACAAAUGUAAAAAAGUAUCAGAGCUCGGACCUGAAUGUGGAGGUGGGGGCAAGGAGAUCGAAGAAAAGGUAUCCAUGAAAUAACACAAAUUACACUAAAGGUUUUAGUUAAAGGGGACUUUUUCUUUUUACUUUUAAUUGUGGAAAAUUUCAAAUGUAUUCAAACAUUGAACAGAGGGUAAGAAGCUCUCAGGUAUCUGUCUCCUAGCUUCAGUAAUUAUCACUUUGUGGUCAGUCUUAUUUCAUUGAUAAUCCUAAGCACUCCCGUCUCCUGUAUUAUUUUGAAGCAAACCCUAGACAUGAUACCAUUUCACCUUACCAAGUUUUCAAGUACAAGAUGUAAGAACUCUUUAAGCAUUACUACAAUAUUAUUAUUAUGCCCAGAUAUUUGACAAUAAUUCCUUAAUGUCGUCAAAUAUCCAGUCAGUGUUUAAAUUUUCCCAUCUGUCUCAUAAAUUUUUUUUUUUUUUUCACUAGAGGAGGUGAGCUUGAGUCUUCUUCUCUGCCCUCUUGGCUCUGAAUCAGUCCUUACUGUUUUGUUUUACAAAAAGGAAAUUGCUGGCAAUAAGAAAUGGAGUAAAAGAAUGCGGACGGUUAUGUCAAAAACUGGACAUUCCUCUUUCUCAUCGUGCUCUCUUGGCCAAUCUCUCAGCUUCAGCCUUUGCCUUGGAGAUACUCCAAAAACAAAAAAGGGUGUAAACUCCAGAAUAAAGUUGCCUGAAGUUGGGAGGUCCUGUUAUGGCUCAGUGGUAAUGAACCUGACUAGUAUCCGUGAGGAUGCAGGUUUGAUCCCUGGCCUUGCUCAGUGGGUUAAGGUACCAGUGUUGCCGUGAGCUGUGGUGUGGGUCUCAGA
rnacentral:lncRNA from 1 species